GAUGAACGCUGGCGGCGUGCUUAACACAUGCAAGUCGAACGGACAGGCGCUGCUUUUGUGGCGUUCUCGAUUGCCGCACGGGUGUGUGACACGUGAGUAUCCUCCCCUUAACUGUCGGAUAACUUCUGGAGAAUGGGGAUAAUACCCGGUAUAAUAUCCUGCUGCAUAGUGUUGGUUAGAAAAUUUCGGCUGUUGGGGAUCGACUCGCGGCUUAUCAGCUUGUUGGUGUGGUAGUGGCGUACGAGGGCUUUGACGGGUAGCCUGCCUGAGAGCGUGACCGGCCACAUUGGGACUGAGGUAGGGACCAGACGCGUACGGGACGCAGUAGGCGGGAAUAUGGCAGAACGGGGCGAAGUCAGAGGUAGCAACCUCGGGUGCGUGAUGACGGGCUAUGGGUUGUAAACCGAUUUGGACGGUGAUGAAGAGUGAGUGACGGUAACUGGUAAAGAAGCACCGGCUAACUACGUG
rnacentral:rRNA from 1 species